GGAGGGUUGGCGGAGAGGCCGAACGCACUCGACUUGAAAUCGAGACUAGUGAGAGCUAGCGAGGGUUCGAAUCCCUCACCCUCCUCCA
rnacentral:tRNA from 1 species